rnacentral:rRNA from 1 species
GACGAACGCUGGCGGCGUGCCUAAUACAUGCAAGUGGGACGCAAGGGAACACACUGUGCUUGCACACCGUGUUUUCUUGAGUCGCGAACGGGUGAGUAACGCGUAGGUAACCUGCCUAUUAGCGGGGGAUAACUAUUGGAAACGAUAGCUAAUACCGCAUAAUAUUAAUUAUUGCAUGAUAAUUGAUUGAAAGAUGCAAGCGCAUCACUAGUAGAUGGACCUGCGUUGUAUUAGCUAGCUGGUAAGGUAAGAGCUUACCAAGGCGACGAUACAUAGCCGACCUGAGAGGGUGAUCGGCCACACUGGGACUGAGACACGGCCCAGACUCCUACGGGAGGCAGCAGUAGGGAAUCUUCGGCAAUGGACGAAAGUCUGACCGAGCAACGCCGCGUGAGUGAAGAAGGUUUUCGGAUCGUAAAGCUCUGUUGUAAGUCAAGA